UCAGGUCAUAGGAUCAGUUGCACAACUCCCACUAAGAGAAUCAUCUUUUGACAUGUAAGUAAGACUUCAUAAGAUUUCUCUUUGUAGGUCAAUUCAGUGAACUCAUUCCUCUAAUGAGCACCCACAUUUUUGUAUUAGUGUCUCCACACAAAUGAUUGUGAGAUCAAUCAUCCUCUGCAUCGAGCAUACAUAAGACAUGCCAGUCUUUCCGGUAAUCAUUGAUCCCCGAUCAAUGUACCAAUGACUGGGAAUAUUUAAGAUUAGGAUUUUAGGAUUUUAAGUCUCACUAGUAUGAUCUCAUCAUAGUCUUAAAACCAUUGCCCUAAUCUAAGGAGUUUAUCAUAAAUAUAAUCAAC
rnacentral:lncRNA from 1 species